UACGGGGGGGGCAAGCGUUGUUCGGAAUUACUGGGCGUAAAGGGCUCGUAGGUGGCCAACUAAGUCAGACGUGAAAUCCCUCGGCUUAACCGGGGAACUGCGUCUGAUACUGGUUGGCUUGAGUGCAGGAGAGGAACGCGGAAUUCCAGGUGUAGCGGUGAAAUGCGUAGAUAUCUGGAGGAACACCGGUGGCGAAGGCGGCGUUCUGGACUGCAACUGACACUGAGAAACGAAAGCCAGGGGAGCAAACGGG
rnacentral:rRNA from 1 species